rnacentral:snRNA from 1 species
CCGAGCGGCGGGUAGAAUCC